rnacentral:rRNA from 1 species
UCGCGGCCUAUCAGCUUGUUGGUGGGGUGAUGGCCUACCAAGGCGACGACGGGUAGCCGGCCUGAGAGGGCGACCGGCCACACUGGGACUGAGACACGGCCCAGACUCCUACGGGAGGCAGCAGUGGGGAAUAUUGCACAAUGGGCGGAAGCCUGAUGCAGCGACGCCGCGUGAGGGAUGACGGCCUUCGGGUUGUAAACCUCUUUCAGCAGGGACGAAGCGAAAGUGACGGUACCUGCAGAAGAAGCGCCGGCCAACUACGUGCCAGCAGCCGCGGUAAGACGUAGGGCGCGAGCGUUGUCCGGAUUUAUUGGGCGUAAAGAGCUCGUAGGCGGCUUGUCGCGUCGACUGUGAAAACCCGCAGCUCAACUGCGGGCCUGCAGUCGAUACGGGCAGGCUAGAGUUCGGUAGGGGAGACUGGAAUUCCUGGUGUAGCGGUGAAAUGCGCAGAUAUCAGGAGGAACACCGGUGGCGAAGGCGGGUCUCUGGGCCGAUACUGACGCUGAGGAGCGAAAGCGUGGGGAGCGAAC